rnacentral:rRNA from 1 species
UACGUAGGGUGCGAGCGUUGUCCGGAAUUACUGGGCGUAAAGAGCUCGUAGGUGGUUUGUCGCGUUGUUCGUGAAAACUCACAGCUUAACUGUGGGCGUGCGGGCGAUACGGGCAGACUGGAGUACUGCAGGGGAGACUGGAAUUCCUGGUGUAGCGGUGGAAUGCGCAGAUAUCAGGAGGAACACCGGUGGCGAAGGCGGUUCUCUGGGCCUGUACUGACGCUGAGGAACGAAAGCGUGGGGAGCGAACAGG